rnacentral:rRNA from 1 species
GAUGAACGCUAGCGGCAGGCUUAACACAUGCAAGUCGAGGGGCAGCAUUUAAGUUAGCAAUAACUUAAGAUGGCGACCGGCGCAAGGGGUGCGUAACGCGUGAGUAACAUGCCCGUAUCAGGAGGAUAACCCGGAGAAAUCCGGACUAAUACUGCAUAAUAUUUUCUAGAGGCAUCUUUAGGAAAUUAAAGUUUCGACGGAUACGGAUUGGCUCGCGUAACAUUAGCUAGUUGGUGGGGUAACGGCCCACCAAGGCGACGAUCAGUAGCCGGUCUGAGAGGAUGAACGGCCACAUUGGGACUGAGAUACGGCCCAGACUCCUACGGGAGGCAGCAGGUGGGGAAUAUUGGGCAAUGGGGGAAACCCUGACCCAGCAACGCCGCGUGAAGGAAGAAGGCCUUCGGGUUGUAAACUUCUUUUACCAGGGACGAAGAACGUGACGGUACCUGGAGAAAGAGCAACGGCUAACUACGUG